UACGGGGGGAGCAAGCGUUGUUCGGAUUUACUGGGCGUAAAGGGCGCGUAGGCGGCCACCGCAAGUCGACUGUGAAAUCUCCGGGCUUAACCCGGAAAGGUCAGCCGAUACUGCGGGGCUAGAGUGCAGAAGGGGCAACUGGAAUUCUCGGUGUAGCGGUGAAAUGCGUAGAUAUCGGGAGGAACAUCAGUGGCGAAGGCGGCCAUCUGGGACAACACUGACGCUGAAGCACGAAAGCGUGGGGAGCAAACAGG
rnacentral:rRNA from 1 species